rnacentral:misc_RNA from 1 species
GAUGAAGAACGUAGCGAAAUGCGAUACGUAAUGUGAAUUGCAGAUUUCAGUGAAUCAUCGAAUCUUUGAACGCACAUUGCGCCUGCUAGUACUCUGGCGGGCAUGCCUGUUCGAGCGUCAUUUCAACCAUCAAGCCCUAGGCUUGCGUUGGAGCCCUGCGGCUGCCGCAGGCUCCCAAAUCCAGUGGCGGGCUCGUCGUCGUACCGAGUGCAGUAAACAUCCUCGCUCAGGGAACGUGACGGGUUCUUGCCGUGAAACCCCCCACAUAUCAAGGUUGACCUCGGAUCAGGUAGGAAUACCCGCUGAACUUAAGCAUAUCAAUAAGCGGAGGA